rnacentral:rRNA from 1 species
GACGUAGGGGGCAAGCGUUGUCCGGAAUCAUUGGGCGUAAAGCGCGCGUAGGCGGACUUUUAAGUCGGUGGAGAAAGACCUGGGCUCAACUCAGGGAACGGCAUCGAUACUAUUGGUCUUGAGGUGAUUAGAGGAUGAUGGAAUUCCCGGUGUAGCGGUGAAAUGCGUAGAUAUCGGGAAGAACACCAGUGGCGAAGGCGGCUCUCUGGGACGGUACUGACGCUGAGACGCGAAAGCGUGGGGAGCAAACAGG